GACGAACGCUGGCGGCGUGCCUAAUACAUGCAAGUAGAACGCACAGUUUAUACCGUAGCUUGCUACACCAUAGACUGUGAGUUGCGAACGGGUGAGUAACGCGUAGGUAACCUGCCUGGUAGCGGGGGAUAACUAUUGGAAACGAUAGCUAAUACCGCAUAAUAUUGAUUAUUGCAUGAUAAUUGAUUGAAAGAUGCUAUUGCAUCACUACCAGAUGGACCUGUGUUGUAUUAGCUAGUAGGUGAGGUAACGGCUCACCUAGGCGACGAUACAUAGCCGACCUGAGAGGGUGAUCGGCCACACUGGGACUGAGACACGGCCCAGACUCCUACGGGAGGCAGCAGUAGGGAAUCUUCGGCAAUGGACGAAAGUCUGACCGAGCAACGCCGCGUGAGUGAAGAAGGUUUUCGGAUCGUAAAGCUCUGUUGUAAGAGAAGAACGGGUGUGAGAGUGGAAAGUUCACACUGUGACGGUAUCUUACCAGAAAGGGACGGCUAACUACGUG
rnacentral:rRNA from 1 species